AAGCCCUGGAAACCAAGCAUGGGUGAGGCCUGCGAAUACAAUAUCAUGGCGACCCAUCCUUGGUUUCUGAGGCUU
rnacentral:pre_miRNA from 1 species